rnacentral:rRNA from 1 species
AGAGAUGCAGUUGGGUGUAAAGCGUGCGCAGGUCGGUUUUUGUAAGACAGAGGUGAAACUCCCCGGGCUCAACCUGGGAACUGCCUUUGUGACUGCAAGGCUGGAGUGCGGCAGAGGGGGAUGGAAUUCCGCGUGUAGCAGUGAAAUGCGUAGAUAUGCGGAGGAACACCGAUGGCGAAGGCAAUCCCCUGGGCCUGCACUGACGCUCAUGCACGAAAGCGUGGGGAGCAAACA